UACGUAGGUCGCAAGCGUUGUCCGGAUUUACUGGGCGUAAAGAGCGCGCAGGCGGCUGGUCAAGUCCGAUGUGAAAUCUCCCGGCUCAACUGGGAAACUGCAUCGGAAACUGAUCGGCUUGAAGAUGGGAGAGGGUAGUGGAAUUCCCGGUGUAGUGGUGAAAUGCGUAGAUAUCGGGAGGGAAACACCAGUGGCCGAAGGCGACUACCUGGCCCAUUCUUGACGCGUGAGGCGGCGAAAAGCUAGGGGAGCGAACGGG
rnacentral:rRNA from 1 species